rnacentral:rRNA from 1 species
AUUGAACGCUGGCGGCAGGCCUAACACAUGCAAGUCGAGCGGAGCGGCGGACGGGUGAGUAAUGCCUAGGAAUCUGCCUGCUCGUGCGGGAUAACGUCCGGAAGCGAGCGCUAAUACAGCAUAUCAUCAGAGGAGUCUAGGUCGGAUUAGCUAGUUGGUGGGGUAAAGGACUACCAAGGCGACGAUCCGGAGCUGGGCUGAGGGGAUGAUCAGUCACGAUGGAACUGAGACACGAUCCAGAAUCCUACGGGAGGCAGCAGUGGGGAAUAUUGGACAAGUGGCGAAAGCCUGAACCAGCCAUGCCGCGUGUGUGAUGAAGGUCUUCGGAUUGUAAAGCACUUUAAGUUGGGAGGCGUUACCGACAGAAUAAGCACCGGCUAACUUAGUGCCAGCAGCCGCGGUAAUUC